rnacentral:rRNA from 1 species
UACGAAGGGGGCUAGCGUUGCUCGGAAUCACUGGGCGUAAAGGGCGCGUAGGCGGACAUCUAAGUCAGGGGUGAAAUCCCAGGGCUCAACCCUGGAAUUGCCUUUGAUACUGGACGUCUCGAGUUCGGGAGAGGUGAGUGGAAUUCCGAGUGUAGAGGUGAAAUUCGUAGAUAUUCGGAGGAACACCAGAAGCGAAGGCGGCUCACUGGCCCGAUACUGACGCUGAGGCGCGAAAGCGUGGGGAGCAAACAGG